CUGGGAGUGAAGGCAGUGCUUAUGACCGCUUGAUAUGAGAGACACAUCCUGUUUUUAAAGGUGGAUCAUGAGUGAAGCUCUGCAGGUCUGCCAUUGGCUUGAUAACAGUUGUUUAUGUUUAUUCAAUUUAUGAAUAAAUCUCUCGCUAACCAUUCACCUAUUUACUGACACAACAGAUCCAAAUCUUGUUCGGUCUGAUGCUCAACCUUGUAUGAUGACGACCACUGCAAGGUGAGGGGAAUCUGUGGUAAUCACAGCCUGCGGCUCAAGAUCAACAUGACAAUAGCUGACCAUCUCUUAUCUUACUCUUAUCUGACUAAAUGUUCAACUUCAUUGCAACAAAACAAAGAACAUUGGAUGGAGUGUUGGAGUAUGUAAUGUAUAAUGAUCCAGCAAACAAAAUAAUAUGGACUUUUUUGGCGAGAUUCUACAAACAUUGACACAAUCCUAUUGACUUUUAUUUUUACAGUUAGUAAUGUAUUAUUAACAUCCCCUUAAUUUGUAUUCUAUGUCAUCUAUCUGUUUGUGCUAAAAUGUUUACAUCUGAAUGUAAUGUCAUGUUAAUAUUCAGUAUUUAUUAUCAUUUGCAUGUUUUA